CACCAGGGUUGGAGCUUCUAAAUAAGUUUUAAAAUAAUAACUCUAAAAUAAAACAUUAUUUAUUUAUUUUUGACAAUUGCUUGGGAUUUAAAGCAAGACAAGAUGGCUGUCGGAAGGAUCAUAUCAAUGUUCCUGAUUCUUAUAGCUACAACAAGACCAGCUGCACCUAUGACAGCUGCACCAACAACAGCAGCACCAACAACUCCUGCACCUACAACUGCAGCCCCUACAACUGCUGCACCUACAACUCC